rnacentral:rRNA from 1 species
GCGCAGUGGUCCCACCUGACCCCAUGCCGAACUCAGAAGUGAAACGCCGUAGCGC